GAUGAACGCUGGCGGCGUGCCUAAUACAUGCAAGUCGAGCGAAUGGAUUAAGAGCUUGCUCUUAUGAAGUUAGCGGCGGACGGGUGAGUAACACGUGGGUAACCUGCCCAUAAGACUGGGAUAACUCCGGGAAACCGGGGCUAAUACCGGAUAACAUUUUGAACCGCAUGGUUCGAAAUUGAACGGCGGCUUCGGCUGUCACUUAUGGAUGGACCCGCGUCGCAUUAGCUAGUUGGUGAGGUAACGGCUCACCAAGGCAAAGAUGCGUAGCCGACCUGAGAGGGUGAUCGGCCACACUGGGACUGAGACACGGCCCAGACUCCUACGGGAGGCAGCAGUAGGGAAUCUUCCGCAAUGGACGAAAGUCUGACGGAGCAACGCCGCGUGAGUGAUGAAGGCUUUCGUGUCGUAAAACUCUGUUGUUAGGGAAGAACAAGUGCUAGUUGAAUAAGCUGGCACCUUGACGGUACCUAACCAGAAAGCCACGGCUAACUACGUGCCAGCAGCCGCGGUAA
rnacentral:rRNA from 1 species